UAUGUAGCUUGUCGGAGUUUUCAGCGUCUUGUAAACGCUGUAUUUGUAUGUUUAGGAAGCAGAGGUAAUGUAAGAGGAGGCCAGGGGGCAAUUGAUGUGUGCAUUGUGUUCUGCAGAUGUGCGAGCCAAUAAAUCGUGGAAAAGAAGUGA